CGCGGUGCGUUGUGGGGGUUGUAGUUCGUCCGCGGGAGCGGGACCUCCGGUUCCCCGGGCCAGGGGUGUGAGAAAGAAGCGAGCCCUCGAGUUCCUCGGGGCAUGUGGGAAGGUUUUUUUCAGGAUCCAGGCAGAACCUUACAGAGCUGGGAGUUUUUUAACUUUCCAUUCCUGACAGUGACGCCAGGAGCUUUAAGUAAUGGAAAUAUGCGAGUCAAUCAGUGGAUGGUGUUAGUACUGUUUUCUCUUAUGAAGAUCAAGCCUGCCCUUCGGGUCUGCUUCCACCUUUUCCCCCUGCCCGUCUCCCACCGACUCCCUCCUUUCCACUGGCUCUCAGGAGCCGGACAGCCUGUGUUCAAUUUGCCUCCAAGGAGUGGUUGUGUGACCUUGAUGAAGCAAGCAACUUCUCUGCCUCAGUUUCUUUAUCUGUAACAUAGGGAUAGAAUAGUACCCGCCUUGUAGGGUUAUUUGAGGAUGAAAGGAGUUAAGUCUCGUGAAGACGCUCUUUCACAUAUAACUGCUCAAUUAAAUAUCAUACUCCUCUCCCACCAGGGCUCUCCCAAACAAAAUGACAGAAAAGUGGGUAAUAGCAGGUGUGUUCCACUAAACUGUGGGCCUUUCAUUAUGAGCAGGUGCUGCCGUAUCUAGACUUUGUGCCCCUCCUAGCCCCAGUGCUUCUCAGAGCUGUGAUCCGGCCCCAUGUAAGCUUCGGUCAAUGUUUGUUGAAGAAUCACGUUCCUGGCGUCAGGAUGGGUAACUAGGUGGCAAUUCAGCACCGUCUAGAGAGAAUCUAAGGCCAAGGCUUGGAACAAAGGAACAGUAAAUGGAAUAACUUGGCUAGAAUAUGGCAGUAACUACAAGGCAUGUUCUGCUCUGGAACGAAGGAAGACAACCACCUCAAGUCAGGGAGAGGAAGGAAAUGCUAUUUGAAGACGGAGCAAGAAGGUGGUUAUCUACAAGCCAGGAAGAGAGUCCUCACCAAAACACAACCAUGCUGGUACCCUGAUCUUCAACUUCCAGUCUUGAGCUGUUGAGAAAAUAAACUUUUACUGUUUAAGCUA